rnacentral:rRNA from 1 species
GACGAACGCUGGCGGCGUGCUUAACACAUGCAAGUCGAACGGAAAGGCCCUGCUUUUGUGGGGUGCUCGAGUGGCGAACGGGUGAGUAACACGUGAGUAACCUGCCCUUGACUUUGGGAUAACUUCAGGAAACUGGGGCUAAUACCGGAUAGGAGCUCCUGCUGCAUGGUGGGGGUUGGAAAGUUUCGGCGGUUGGGGAUGGACUCGCGGCUUAUCAGCUUGCUGGUGGGGUAGUGGCUUACCAAGGCUUUGACGGGUAGCCGGCCUGAGAGGGUGACCGGCCACAAUGGUACUGAGAUACGGCCCAGACUCCUACGGGAGGCAGCAGUGGAAAGUAUUGCACAAUAGGCGGAAGCCUGAUACAGCGGCGCCGCGUGCGUAAUGACGGCCUUCGGGUUGUAAACCGCUUUCGCCUGUGACGAAGCGUGAGUGACGGUAAUGAGUAAAGAAGCACCGGCUAACUACGUG